ACUCCUACGGGUGGCAGCAGCAGGGAAUCUUGCGCAAUGGGCGAAAGCCUGACGCAGCGACACCGCGUGGGGGAUGAAGGCUCUUGGGUCGUAAACCCCUUUUGUCGGGGAAGAGAAAGGACGGUACCCGACGAAUAAGGUUCGGCUAACUACGUGCCAGCAGCCGCGGUAAUACGUAGGAACCGAGCGUUGUCCGGAUUUACUGGGCGUAAAGUGCGCGUAGGCGGUUUGUUAAGUCUCAUGUGAAAUCUCCCGGCUCGACUGGGAGGGGUCAUGGGAUACUGGCAGACUUGAGUGUGGCAGAGGGGAGUGGAAUUCCCGGAGUAGUGGUGGAAUGCGUAGAUACCGGGAGGAACACCAGAGGCGAAGGCGACUCCCUGGGCCAUGUCUGACGCUGAGGCGCGAAAGCGUGGGUAGCAAACCGGAUUAGAUACCCGGGUAGUCCACGCCCUAAACGAUGGAUACUAGAUAUGGGGGGUAUCGACCCCCUCCGUGUCGCAGCUAACGCAAUAAGUAUCCCGCCUGAGGAGUACGGCCGCAAGGCUAAAACUCAAAGGAAUUGACGGGGACCCGCACAAGCAGCGGAUCGUGUGGUUUAAUUCGAUGAUAAGCGAAGAACCUUACCAGGGCUUGACAUGCUUCCGACAGGCUGGGAAACCAGCCCUUCCUUCGGGACGGAUGCACAGAUGUUGCAUGGCUGUCGUCAGCUCGUGUCGUGAGAU
rnacentral:rRNA from 1 species